UACAGGGGGUGCUAGCGUUGUUCGGAAUUACUGGGCGUAAAGGGCGCGUAGGCGGUCAGCACAAGUCAGUUGUGAAAUCUCCGGGCUUAACUCGGAAAGGUCAACUGAUACUGUGCGACUAGAGUGCGGAAGGGGCAACUGGAAUUCUCGGUGUAGCGGUGAAAUGCGUAGAUAUCGAGAGGAACACCUGCGGCGAAGGCGGGUUGCUGGGCCGACACUGACGCUGAUGCGCGAAAGCCAGGGGAGCGAACGGG
rnacentral:rRNA from 1 species